GGCCAACUCCGGUUGAUCCUGCCGGACCCCACCGCUAUCGGGGUGGGACUAAGGCAUGCAAGUCGAACGCCCCGGGGCUGGCCGGGGCGUGGCGCACGGCUCAGUAACACGUGGCUAACCUACCCUGGGGACGGGGAUAACCUCGGGAAACUGAGGCUAAUCCCCGAUAGGGGAGGAGGCCUGGAACGGUCCCUCCCCGAAAGGGGCCCAGGCCCAUGCCGCCUGGGACCCGCCCCAGGAUGGGGCUGCGGCCCAUCAGGUUGUCGGUGGGGUAACGGCCCACCGAGCCUAUAACGGGUGCGGGCCGUGAGAGCGGGAGCCCGGAGAUGGGCACUGAGACAAGGGCCCAGGCCCUACGG
rnacentral:rRNA from 1 species